rnacentral:misc_RNA from 1 species
GAUGAAGAACGUAGCGAAAUGCGAUAAGUAAUGUGAAUUGCAGAAUUCAGUGAAUCAUCGAAUCUUUGAACGCACAUUGCGCCCGCCAGUAUUCUGGCGGGCAUGCCUGUUCGAGCGUCAUUACAACCCUCAGGCCCCCGGGCCUGGCGUUGGGGAUCGGCGGAGCCCCCCGUGGGCACACGCCGUCCCCCAAAUGCAGUGGCGGUCCCGCCGCAGCUUCCAUCGCGUAGUAGCUAACACCUCGCGACUGGAGAGCGGCGCGGCCACGCCGUAAAACACCCAACUCUUCUGAAGUUGACCUCGAAUCAGGUAGGAAUAACCGCUGAACUUAAGCAUAUCAAUAAGCGGAGGA